ACUCCUACGGGGGGCAGCAGUAGGGAAUAUUGGACAAUGGAGGCAACUCUGAUCCAGCCAUACCGCGUGAAGGAAGACGGUCCUCUGGAUUGUAAACUUCUUUUAUAUAGGAAGAAACGGUGUCUUGCGAGAUGCUUUUGACGGUACUAUAUGAAUAAGCACCGGCUAACUACGUGCCAGCAGCCGCGGUAA
rnacentral:rRNA from 1 species